AUGCUAGAGUGUUCUCUCCUGGUGACACACACACACACACACUCUCUCUCUCUCUCUCUCUCUCUCUCACACACACACACACACACACACUCUCUCUCUCACUCUCACACACACACACUCUCACACACGCACACACUCUCUCUCUCUCUCUCACACACACACACUCUCUCUCUCUCUCUCUCUCUCUCUCACACACACACACACACACACACUCUCUCUCUCACUCUCACACACACACACUCUCACACACGCACACACUCUCUCUCUCUCUCUCACACACACACACUCUCUCUCUCUCUCUCUCUCUCUCUCACACACACACACACACACACACUCUCUCUCUCACUCUCACACACACACACUCUCACACACGCACACACUCUCUCUCUCUCUCUCACACACACACACUCUCUCUCUCUCUCUCUCUCUCUCUCACACACACACACACACACACACUCUCUCUCUCACUCUCACACACACACACUCUCACACACGCACACACUCUCUCUCUCUCUCUCACACACACACACUCUCUCUCUCUCUCUCUCUCUCUCUCACACACACACACACACACACACUCUCUCUCUCACUCUCACACACACACACUCUCACACACGCACACACUCUCUCUCUCUCUCUCACACACACACACUCUCUCUCUCUCUCUCUCUCUCUCUCACACACACACACACACACACACUCUCUCUCUCACUCUCACACACACACACUCUCACACACGCACACACUCUCUCUCUCUCUCUCACACACACACACUCUCUCUCUCUCUCUCUCUCUCUCUCACACACACACACACACACACACUCUCUCUCUCACUCUCACACACACACACUCUCACACACGCACACACUCUCUCUCUCUCUCUCACACACACACACUCUCUCUCUCUCUCUCUCUCUCUCUCACACACACACACACACACACACUCUCUCUCUCACUCUCACACACACACACUCUCACACACGCACACACUCUCUCUCUCUCUCUCACACACACACACUCUCUCUCUCUCUCUCUCUCUCUCUCACACACACACACACACACACACUCUCUUUCUCUCUCUCACACACACACACACACACACUGUAGAAAUUAAUGUGAGCUUUCAGACUCUAGUUUAGGGUUGUUU
rnacentral:lncRNA from 1 species